rnacentral:rRNA from 1 species
AACAAACGCUGGCGGCGUGCCUAACACAUGCAAGUCGUACGAGAAAAUUCGCUUCGGUGGAUGAGUAAAGUGGCGCACGGGUGAGUAACGCGUGGAUAAUCUGCCCCUUAGUCGGGAAUAACCUAUCGAAAGGUGGGCUAAUACCGGAUAAUACUGCGAGACUGCGGUCGAGUAGUCAAAGAGAGCCUCUGUUUACAAGCCCUCGCUAAAGGAUGAGUCCGCGUACCAUUAGCUAGUUGGUAGGUAACGGCCUACCAAGGCUACGAUGGUUAGCUGGUCUGAGAGGAUGAUCAGCCACACUGGAACUGAGACACGGUCCAGACUCCUACGGGAGGCUG